UAAAUUGAAGAGUUUGAUCAUGGCUCAGAUUGAACGCUGGCGGCAGGCCUAACACAUGCAAGUCGAGCGGAGUUAUAUUGUAGCUU
rnacentral:rRNA from 1 species